GGUUGUGGCUCAGUGGUAGAGCAAUCACCUAGCACAUGUGAGGUACUGGGUUUGAUCCUCAGCAGCACA
rnacentral:tRNA from 1 species